GACCAGACUCCUACGGGAGGCAGCAGUGGGGAAUAUUGCACAAUGGGGGAAACCCUGAUGCAGCGACGCCGCGUGAGUGAAGAAGUAAUUCGUUAUGUAAAGCUCUAUCAGCAGGGAAGAAAAUGACGGUACCUGAGUAAGAAGCCCCGGCUAACUACGUGCCAGCAGCCGCGGUAAUACGUAGGGGGCAAGCGUUAUCCGGAUUUACUGGGUGUAAAGGGAGCGUAGGCGGGGAUGCAAGUUGGGUGUCAAAACUACCGGCUCAACUGGCAGUCGCACUCAAAACUGCAGCUCUUGAGUGAAGUAGAGGCAGGCGGAAUUCCUAGUGUAGCGGUGAAAUGCGUAGAUAUCAGGAGGAACACCGGCGGCGAAGGCGGCCUGCUGGACCGUGACUGACGUUGAGGCUCGAGAGCGUGGGGAGCAAACAGGAUUAGAUACCCCUGUAAG
rnacentral:rRNA from 1 species